AUCCAGCUAACGAGUCCCAUGUAGGACAAAACGCGCGUUCUGGAU
rfam:Schistosoma rodhaini strain Burundi genome assembly, scaffold: SROB_contig0001781